rnacentral:tRNA from 4 species
AAGGCUUUAGCUUAAUUAAAGUGUUUGAUUUGCAUUCAAAAGAUGUGGGGUAAAGUCCUGCAAGUCUUA